UACCAGCACCCCGAGUGGUCGGGACGUUUAUUGGGCCUAAAGCAUCCGUAGCCGGUUCUACAAGUCUUCCGUUAAAUCCACCUGCUUAACAGAUGGGCUGCGGAAGAUACUAUGGAGCUAGGAGGCGGGAGAGGCAAGCGGUACUCGAUGGGUAGGGGUAAAAUCCACUGAUCCAUUGAAGACCACCAGUGGCGAAGGCGGCUUGCCAGAACGCGCUCGACGGUGAGGGAUGAAAGCUGGGGGAGCAAACCGG
rnacentral:rRNA from 1 species